AGCCUCAAUGUAGUCCCUGAAGUUGCACUCGAGCCUCAUAGUAGUCCCUGAACUUAAAAGUUCCUCAGAGUCAUCCCCGAACUUGCACUCCGGGACUCAAAGUGGUCCUUCCGGCAAUUUCAGCACACGUGGCGCAACCGGAAAGCUUAGCUGGCAGCGUUGGUGACAUGUGGGACUCACAACGGCUAGUUGAUGUGGCAGAGUAAACUCUUCCGACUUAAUUUGGUCCCUCAGGUGAAGUUAAAACCCUAAUCCCCUUUUUUGAAGGCCACAUUGUUCACUCUGCUGUCUCCUCAUCGGUGCUGUGUUCUUCUGUUCUCCCUCUCUGAAGCCCGAAGGUUAUGGCUAGCACGAGCAAUGCAGCUGGGAGCUCGAACAACCCACGAUCGUUUGGAAGCAUCAUGAGGAGAAUGAACAGAAAUAGAGAAGCUCGUUUGCCAAAAAUGAAAAAAAAAUCAUGGGAAGCCUGGUUUCUCUGAAAGAGGGCCUUAUAAAUGCAGUUAAGGAGGUUUUUCCAGAUGUCCAUCACAGAUUCUGUGUUUGGCAUCUGUGGAAGAACUUCAAUAAGUAAUGGAAGGAUCUCCAGUUUAGAGGGCUACUUUGGGAUUGUGCAAGGUGUACUAGCUAAGAUGGCUUCCUUGAUAUCAUCAAAAAGAUUGAAAGGGUUAAUAAGGAAGCCUGGGAGUAUUUGAACAAGUGGCCCUAUGCAAGGUGCAACACAGGGAACUGC